UACGAAGGGGGGCUAGCGUUGCUCGGAAUCACUGGGCGUAAAGGGUGCGUAGGCGGGUCUUUUAAGUCAGGGGUGAAAUCCUGGAGCUCAACUCCAGAACUGCCUUUGAUACUGAGGAUCUUGAGUUCGGGAGAGGUGAGUGGAACUGCGAGUGUAGAGGUGAAAUUCGUAGAUAUUCGCAAGAACACCAGUGGCGAAGGCGGCUCACUGGCCCGAUACUGACGCUGAUGCACGAAAGCGUGGGGAGCAAACAGG
rnacentral:rRNA from 1 species